rnacentral:rRNA from 1 species
CAGUCGCCACGGGAAUACGGAGGGGGCUAGCGUUGUUCGGAAUUACUGGGCGUAAAGCGCACGUAGGCGGCUUUGUAAGUUAGAGGUGAAAGCCCGGAGCUCAACUCCGGAAUUGCCUUUAAGACUGCAGAGCUAGCAGGUGAGAGAGGUGAGUGGAAUUCCGAGUGUAGAGGUGAAAUUCGUAGAUAUUCGGAAGAACACCAGUGGCGAAGGCGGCUCACUGGCUCAUACUGGACGCUGAGGUGCGAAAGCGUGGGGAGCAAACAGGAUCAGAUACCCGCGUAGUCCCUGUCUCUUAUAA